GAGUUUGAUCAUGGCUCAGAUUGAACGCUGGCGGCAGGCCUAACACAUGCAAGUCGAACGGUAACAGGAAGAAGCUUGCUUCUUUGCUGACGAGUGGCGGACGGGUGAGUAAUGUCUGGGAAACUGCCUGAUGGAGGGGGAUAACUACUGGAAACGGUAGCUAAUACCGCAUAACGUCGCAAGACCAAAGAGGGGGACCUUCGGGCCUCUUGCCAUCGGAUGUGCCCAGAUGGGAUUAGCUAGUAGGUGGGGUAACGGCUCACCUAGGCGACGAUCCCUAGCUGGUCUGAGAGGAUGACCAGCCACACUGGAACUGAGACACGGUCCAGACUCCUACGGGAGGCAGCAGUGGGGAAUAUUGCACAAUGGGCGCAAGCCUGAUGCAGCCAUGCCGCGUGUAUGAAGAAGGCCUUCGGGUUGUAAAGUACUUUCAGCGGGGAGGAAGGGAGUAAAGUUAAUACCUUUGCUCAUUGACGUUACCCGCAGAAGAAGCACCGGCUAACUCCGUGCCAGCAGCCGCGGUAAUACGGAGGGUGCAAGCGUUAAUCGGAAUUACUGGGCGUAAAGCGCACGCAGGCGGUUUGUUAAGUCAGAUGUGAAAUCCCCGGGCUCAACCUGGGAACUGCAUCUGAUACUGGCAAGCUUGAGUCUCGUAGAGGGGGGUAGAAUUCCAGGUGUAGCGGUGAAAUGCGUAGAGAUCUGGAGAAAUACCGGUGGCGAAGGCGGCCCCCUGGACGAAGACUGACGCUCAGGUGCGAAAGCGUGGGGAGCAAACAGGAUUAGAUACCCUGGUAGUCCACGCCGUAAACGAUGUCGACUUGGAGGUUGUGCCCUUGAGGCGUGGCUUCCGGAGCUAACGCGUUAAGUCGACCGCCUGGGGAGUACGGCCGCAAGGUUAAAACUCAAAUGAAUUGACGGGGGCCCGCACAAGCGGUGGAGCAUGUGGUUUAAUUCGAUGCAACGCGAAGAACCUUACCUGGUCUUGACAUCCACGGAAGUUUUCAGAGAUGGGAAUGUGCCUUCGGGAACCGUGAGACAGGUGCUGCAUGGCUGUCGUCAGCUCGUGUUGUGAAAUGUUGGGUUAAGUCCCGCAACGAGCGCAACCCUUAUCCUUUGUUGCCAGCGGUCCGGCCGGGAACUCAAAGGAGACUGCCAGUGAUAAACUGGAGGAAGGUGGGGAUGACGUCAAGUCAUCAUGCCCCUUACGACCAGGGCUACACACGUGCUACAAUGGCGCAUACAAAGAGAAGCGACCUCGCGAGAGCAAGCGGACCUCAUAAAGUGCGUCGUAGUCCGGAUUGGAGUCUGCAACUCGACUCCAUGAAGUCGGAAUCGCUAGUAAUCGUGGAUCAGAAUGCCACGGUGAAUACGUUCCCGGGCCUUGUACACACCGCCCGUCACACCAUGGGAGUGGGUUGCAAAAGAAGUAGGUAGCUUAACCUUCGGGAGGGCGCUUACCACUUUGUGAUUCAUGACUGGGGUGAAGUCGAACAAGGUAACCGUAGGGGAACCUGCGGUUG
rnacentral:rRNA from 1 species